GACGAACGCUGGCGGCGUGCCUAAUACAUGCCAGUUGAGCGCUGAAGGUUGGUACUUGUACCGACUGGAUGAGCAGCGAACGGGUGAGUAACGCGUGGGGAAUCUGCCUUUGAGCGGGGGACAACAUUUGGAAACGAAUGCUAAUACCGCAUAAAAACUUUAAACACAAGUUUUAAGUUUGAAAGAUGCAAUUGCAUCACUCAAAGAUGAUCCCGCGUUGUAUUAGCUAGUUGGUGAGGUAAAGGCUCACCAAGGCGAUGAUACAUAGCCGACCUGAGAGGGUGAUCGGCCACAUUGGGACUGAGACACGGCCCAAACUCCUACGGGAGGCAGCAGUAGGGAAUCUUCGGCAAUGGACGAAAGUCUGACCGAGCAACGCCGCGUGAGUGAAGAAGGUUUUCGGAUCGUAAAACUCUGUUGAUAGAGAAGAACGUUGGUGAGAGUGGAAAGCUCAUCAAGUGACGGUAACUACCCAGAAAGGGACGGCUAACUACGUG
rnacentral:rRNA from 1 species